rnacentral:tRNA from 1 species
GGUGACUCAAUGGUAGAGUGCUUGCCUUGCAUGCAUGAGGCCUUGGGUUUGAUUCCUCAGCACCA